rnacentral:sRNA from 1 species
GCUGGGUGCGGUGGCUCACGCCUGUAAUCCCAGCAGUUUGGGAGGCUGAGGCAGGAGGAUCAUGAGUUCAAAGCCAAUCCCUGCAACUCAGUUAGGCUCUCAGCAAGUCAGUGAGACUCUGUCUCUA